CAGCAGGAGCAGCUGAAAAUGGACAAGCAGCGAAACCUCCGCAGCGAGGAGCCUUAUGUGGCCGGAGGCAAUGCUACAACGGAAAGCAGAAUCAUUUCUAUCAAGACACUGAUGGGUUUUAAAAGCGCUUCCUUGGAAUUAUUGAAGAGGCCAGACAGCAGACUUCUACUUCCCGGCUCUGGUCUCCGCCCACUGCAAGCCACUCAGUCUCCUCCUGGCUUAUUGGUCGAAGGACAUCGCAACGUGACACGGGUUUUCUUCCCCUAAACCGUGUUCCAGGCUCAUCUUCACCAGCCUUCUAGCUUAUCCUCUCUCCUGAGGAUCCACUU